rnacentral:rRNA from 1 species
AACGAACGCUGGCGGCGCGCCUAAUACAUGCAAGUCGAGCGAGAAGACGUAGCAAUACGUUUGUAAAGCGGCGAACGGGUGAGGAAUACAUGGGUAACCUACCCUCGAGUGGGGAAUAACUAGCCGAAAGGUUAGCUAAUACCGCGUACGCUCCUCGGACUUCGGUUCAGGAGGAAAGCGAUACCGUGGGUAUCGCGCUCUUGGAUGGGCUCCAUGUCCUAUCAGCUUGUUGGUGAGGUAACGGCUCACCAAGGCUUCGACGGUAGCUGGUCUGAGAGGACGAUCAGCCACACUGGCACUGCGACACGGGCCAGACUCCUACGGGAGGCAGCAGUAAGGAAUAUUGCGCAAUGGGCGAAAGCCUGACGCAGCGACGCCGCGU